rnacentral:tRNA from 1 species
AUUUAUAUAGUUUAAUAAUAAAACCUUACAUUUUCACUGUAAUAAAAAAGAAUCUUUCUUUUAUAAAUU